rnacentral:rRNA from 1 species
UGCAAGUCGAGCGAACAGACGAGGAGCUUGCUCCUCUGACGUUAGCGGCGGACGGGUGAGUAACACGUGGAUAACCUACCUAUAAGACUGGGAUAACUUCGGGAAACCGGAGCUAAUACCGGAUAAUAUAUUGAACCGCAUGGUUCAAUAGUGAAAGACGGUUUUGCUGUCACUUAUAGAUGGAUCCGCGCCGCAUUAGCUAGUUGGUAAGGUAACGGCUUACCAAGGCAACGAUGCGUAGCCGACCUGAGAGGGUGAUCGGCCACACUGGAACUGAGACACGGUCCAGACUCCUACGGGAGGCAGCAGUAGGGAAUCUUCCGCAAUGGGCGAAAGCCUGACGGAGCAACGCCGCGUGAGUGAUGAAGGUCUUCGGAUCGUAAAACUCUGUUAUUAGGGAAGAACAAAUGUGUAAGUAACUAUGCACGUCUUGACGGUACCUAAUCAGAAAGCCACGGCUAACUACGUGCCAGCAGCCGCGGUAAUACGUAGGUGGCAAGCGUUAUCCGGAAUUAUUGGGCGUAAAGCGCGCGUAGGCGGUUUUUUAAGUCUGAUGUGAAAGCCCACGGCUCAACCGUGGAGGGUCAUUGGAAACUGGAAAACUUGAGUGCAGAAGAGGAAAGUGGAAUUCCAUGUGUAGCGGUGAAAUGCGCAGAGAUAUGGAGGAACACCAGUGGCGAAGGCGACUUUCUGGUCUGUAACUGACGCUGAUGUGCGAAAGCGUGGGGAU